rnacentral:sRNA from 1 species
AAUGAUAAAAAUGAAAAUAAGAUCAUUAUUGGUGUGAGUAAAAACUUUAAUAUCUAAGGUUGAGAAAAGUAUAUCGAAGACCAGUUUAAGUCUCGUCAGGAAAAAGCAAAACGCUCUGAGACUUAGUUAUCGAGAAACCCUCUUUUAACAUGGAUUCUGACGCCGGUGGAGGUGCAAAUCGCAUGUGUCGGGACUUUGCUUCUCUGAUCUACUUGCUCUAGUUACUACUCAUGUUCUCUAUACUCUCAGCUUCAUUCCUCUCCUGGCAAACUUUGUCUUAACCUUAAUAGACCUUUCCCCUCGCACGUCAACCUCAACCUCUGCUCGCAAUUGAUCCACCAAAACCACCUUACUCCGGCGAUGAAAACCUUAAAGAAAAAUCUACGGCCAUCACUAAGCUUUACACCUCUAAUCCUAGAUCUGAUUUGAUUUUUCUAGAAGAACAAUCACACCGGGAGGAGGAGAACUUCCUCUUGGACCGUCAUAUGCGCCAUGUUCGGUGGAGUCGUCAACGGCGCACAGCGAUUCUUUCUUCUUGACUGAAAAAUCAUGGCUUUCCAAUCUCACUCGACUAGAAAAAAUAGUGAGUCUUCUCUCCCAAUAUAUCGGUUUAUUGAGAUCCGCUCUUAAGAUCGUCCAGUCAAGAUCUCUUCUCUCGUAUCUUGUGACGCCUCCAUCUCCGAUCAUACGCCUCAAGCAAUGACAAGUCGGGAUCGUGAGCAGCCGCUUAGUCCGUCUUAAUAGCGCCAACCAUAAGGCAAAACACUAAUUGUCAAGAUGGGCCUCUUCUUUGUGAUAGGCCUUCCUUGUUUUGGCCCACUAAACUAUCUCCUACGGCCUAAAAGUAUUUGUACGUUUAUCAUCUUUGUAACUACUGGACCCAGGUAUGUCCCAAUUAUAUUUUUGUUAAGCCCUAAUAUAUUGAUGUCUUUUUCCCCUAUUGAGAAUGGUAGAAGACGCCACCCUCACAUCGGAUCAAAACCAAUAGUUAGGAUUGACAAAUACCAUCCUUUAAUCUUGAUGGAAUAUAAGUUUAGUGUUUUAGAGCUCGCCACUGAACCCUUUUAUCCCUAUAAUAAACCUUUGCAACCAUACUCUUCAAUAGAGAGAACUAUUAUUAGAACUCGACCUCUUUUCGUAGAAACCGUGUUGGUUCCUAAUCUUCUUUUUAGACGUUACGUGCAUAGAGUCGAUAUCACCCAAGGUCAAAGAAUUUAUAUCAACGUCACUAGCCCUUUAUAUCAACGUCACUAUCUUUGUUGUAUCCAACCAUAAGGUUGAUGUUUACUUAAUCUUUGUAUUUGCUAUGACUUGAAUGAUUGAAAUAUGUUUUGUCCAAAAAAGAAAAAUGUCUCGACAGGCAAGUUAUGUUUUUAGUAUCGACAUGUGAACUUAUGUUACAAAACCAUAGUUAUACUCUAUGUGUUCGAUCAAGUUUGAUGUUUUAGAUUUUCACAUAAUUUAAGAUUCAAAAGUUUUUUUAUUUAUUUAAAUAA